GAUUAUGGCUCAGGAUGAACGCUAGCUACAGGCUUAACACAUGCAAGUCGAGGGGCAGCAUAUCGAAAGCUUGCUUUGAUGAUGGCGACCGGCGCACGGGUGAGUAACGCGUAUCCAACCUUCCCUAUACUAGAGGAUAGCCCGGCGAAAGUCGGAUUAAUACUCUAUGUUCUUCGUAGAAGACAUCUGAAAUGAAGCAAAGGUUUACCGGUAUAGGAUGGGGAUGCGUCUGAUUAGGUGUUGGCGGGUAACGGCCCACCAAGCCCACGAUCAGUAGGGGUUCUGAGAGGAAGGUCCCCCACAUUGGAACUGAGACACGGUCCAAACUCCUACGGGAGGCAGCAGUGAGGAAUAUUGGUCAAUGGACGAGAGUCUGAACCAGCCAAGUAGCGUGCAGGAUGACGGCCCUAUGGGUUGUAAACUGCUUUUAUACAGGGAUAAAGUUCACUACGUGUAGUGUUUUGUAGGUACUGUAUGAAUAAGGACCGGCUAAUUCCGUGCCAGCCGCAGC
rnacentral:rRNA from 1 species